AUUGAACGCUGGCGGAAUGCUUUACACAUGCAAGUCGAACGGCAGCACGGGGGCAGCCCUGGUGGCGAGUGGCGAACGGGUGAGUAAUACAUCGGAACGUGCCCGGUCGUGGGGGAUAACGUAGCGAAAGUUACGCUAAUACCGCAUACGAUCUGAGGAUGAAAGCGGGGGACCUUCGGGCCUCGCGCGAUCGGAGCGGCCGAUGUCAGAUUAGGUAGUUGGUGGGGUAAAGGCCUACCAAGCCGACGAUCUGUAGCUGGUCUGAUGGGACGACCGGCCACACGGGGACUGAGCCACGGCCCAGACUCCUACGGGAGGCAGCAGUGGGGAAUUUUGGACAAUGGGCGCAAGCCUGAUCCAGCCAUUCCGCGUGCAGGACGAAGGCCUUCGGGUUGUAAACUGCUUUUGUACGGAACGAAAAGGCUCUGGCUAAUACCUGGGGCUCAUGACGGUACCGGAAGAAUAAGCACCGGCUAACUACGUG
rnacentral:rRNA from 1 species